rnacentral:rRNA from 1 species
GCUGGUUAUUCAGGAAAAGGAUYUAAGUCCAAUUUUAAUUCUUUACAUAACAUUAAAUAUAUUUACAGAUUUAAAAUUCAUUCAAAUAAGGUACAGCCUAUUUGAAACAGGAUACAACCUCUCACAGAGGGUAAUGCUUACAUAAACGUGACUAAGUGGGCCUAAAGGCAGCCACCUUUUAAAAAGCGUUAAAGCCUUAUCACAUCAAACUAUAAAUACCUACCUAAGCCCAAAACCCCUUAACCCUACUGAAUGACUUCAUACCUUUAUGAAAAUCCUUAUGUUAGAACCCGUAACAAGAAUAACCAUUCUCCUACAAAUGUAAGUGUAAGCCGAAAUGGAACUCCCAUCGACACUCAUCGCCAAUGAACCAACAGUAAUAACCCCCCCCAAGAAAACCUUACUUUUUUCCCAGCGUUAACCUUACACAAGAACUUUUCUGGAAAGAUUAAAAAAAGAGGAAGGAACUCGGCAAACAUUAA